AGCGAACGCUGGCGGCAGGCCUAACACAUGCCAGUCGAACGGAUCCUUCGGGAUUAGUGGCGGACGGGUGAGUAACACGUGGGAACGUGCCCUUUGGUUCGGAACAACUCAGGGAAACUUGAGCUAAUACCGGAUGUGCCCUUCGGGGGAAAGAUUUAUCGCCAUUGGAGCGGCCCGCGUCUGAUUAGCUAGUUGGUGAGGUAACGGCCCACCAAGGCGACGAUCAGUAGCUGGUCUGAGAGGAUGAUCAGCCACACUGGGACUGAGACACGGCCCAGACUCCUACGGGAGGCAGCAGUGGGGAAUCUUGCGCAAUGGGCGAAAGCCUGACGCAGCCAUGCCGCGUGAAUGAUGAAGGUCUUAGGAUUGUAAAAUUCUUUCAGCGGGGACGAUAAUGACGGUACCCGCAGAAGAAGCGCCGGCUAACUUCGUG
rnacentral:rRNA from 1 species